rnacentral:rRNA from 1 species
UAGGGAAUCUUCCGCAAUGGACGAAAGUCUGACGGAGCAACGCCGCGUGAGUGAAGAAGGAUUUCGGUUCGUAAAACUCUGUUGUUAGGGAAGAAAAAAUGUAUAGUAACUAUAUACAAAAGAGACGGUACCUAACCAGAAAGCCACGGCUAACUACGUGCCAGCAGCCGCGGUAAUACGUAGGUGGCAAGCGUUGUCCGGAAUUAUUGGGCGUAAAGCGCGCGCAGGUGGUUUAGAAAGUCUGAUGUGAAAGCCCACGGCUCAACCGUGGAGGGUCAUUGGAAACUAAUAAACUUGAGUGCAGGAGAGAAAAGUGGAAUUCCUAGUGUAGCGGUGAAAUGCGUAGAGAGUAGGGGGAACACCGGUGGCGAAAGCGGCUUUUUGGCCUGCAACUGACACUGAGGCGCGAAAGCGUGGGGAGCAAACAGG